rnacentral:rRNA from 1 species
CCUACGGGAGGCAGCAGUGAGGAAUAUUGGUCAAUGGGCGGGAGCCUGAACCAGCCAAGUCGCGUGAGGGAAGACGGUCCUAUGGAUUGUAAACCUCUUUAGGCGGGGAGCAAUGCCGGGCACGUGUGCCCGGAGGGAGAGUACCCGCAGAAUAAGCAACGGCUAACUCCGUGCCAGCAGCCGCGGUAAUACGGAGGAUGCGAGCGUUAUCCGGAUUGAUUGGGGUUAAAGGGUGCGUAGGCGGAUUUUUAAGUCAGCGGUAAAAUGUCCGGGCUCAACCCGGGCCGGCCGUUGAAACUGGGGAUCUUGAGUGGGCGAGAAGUAUGCGGAAUGCGUGGUGUAGCGGUGAAAUGCAUAGAUAUCACGCAGAACUCCGAUUGCGAAGGCAGCAUACCGGCGCCCGACUGACGCUGAGGCACGAAAGCGUGGGGAUCGAACAGGAUUAGAUACCCUUGUAUC